UACGGGGGGGGCAAGCGUUGUUCGGAAUUACUGGGCGUAAAGGCUCGUAGCGGCCAACUAAGUCGGAUGUGAAAUCCCCAAGCUUAACUUGGGAACUGCAUCCGAUACUGGAUGGCUUGAAUCCGGGAGAGGGAUGCGGAAUUCCAGGUGUAGCGGUGAAAUGCGUAGAUAUCAGGAGGAACACCGGCGGUGUAGACGGCUUGCUAGACCAUAACUGACGCUGAGGCACGAAAGCGUGGGUAGCAAACAGG
rnacentral:rRNA from 1 species